rnacentral:rRNA from 1 species
CUGACUGCUAUCUGAUUGAUACUAAGCCAUGCGAGUCAUUGUACCAAUACCAGGCUGACGGCUCUUGGCCCGUAGUAACCUAACCUAUGGACGUGGAUAACCUCGGGAAACUGACAAUAAAACACUAUACAUCAUGAUGCCCGGAAUGGCUUAUGGUUCAAACCAUUUAUUGCCUGACGAUGGGACUGCGGCCUAUCAGCUUGUUGGUGAGGUAAUGGCCCACCAAGGCUAUCACAGGUACGGGCUCUGAGAGGAGAAGCCCGGAGAUGGGUACUGACAUACGGACCCAGGCCCUAUGGGGCGCAUUUAGCCAAAAACCUUAGCAGGUGCGAAAGCACGACUAGGUUAAUCCGAGUGGUUCCAGCUAACGGAACCUUUUGUCUAUCGUAAAACCACAGACCAAUAAGGGGUGGGCAAGUCUGGUGUCAGCCGCCGCGAUAAUACCAGCACCUCUUGUGGUCAGGACGUUUAUUGGGCCUAAAGCAUCCGUAGCCGGCUACGCAAGUCUUCGGUUAAAUCCAACUGCUCAACAGAUGGGUUGCCGGACAUACUACAUAUCUCGGGAGCGGGAGAGGCAGACGGUAUUCGGUGGGUAGGGGUAAAAUCCACUGAUCCAUCCAGGACCAUCAUUGGCGAAAGCGGUCUGCCAGAACGCGUUCUACUGUGAGGGAUGAAAGCUGGGGGAGCACACCAGAUUUCAUGCUCUGUUAGUCGUUUCUGUAAGCGAUGCACACUCAGUGAUGCGUUUGCUUAUGGCCUACUCAGUGCCGCACGUAAGCCUUUAAGUAUGCCGCCUGGGAAGUACGGACGCUCCUCUGACACUUAAAGGCAUUGGCG